UUUGAUCCUGGCUCAGGAUGAACGCUGGCGGCGUGCCUAACACAUGCAAGUCGAACGGGGCGCGCAGGCUGAGGCUUUUCGGAGCGGAAGCCGGCGCUGCCCAGUGGCGGACGGGUGAGUAACGCGUGGGCAACCUGCCCUGCACUGGGGGACAACAGCCGGAAACGGCUGCUAAUACCGCAUAUGCCCGCAGCCCCGCAUGGGGCGGCGGGGGAAGCUCCGGCGGUGCAGGAUGGGCCCGCGUCUGAUUAGCUGGUUGGCGGGGCAACGGCCCACCAAGGCGACGAUCAGUAGCCGGCCUGAGAGGGUGGGCGGCCACAUUGGGACUGAGACACGGCCCAGACUCCUACGGGAGGCAGCAGUGGGGGAUAUUGCACAAUGGGGGGAACCCUGAUGCAGCGACGCCGCGUGGGCGAUGGAGUGCUUCGGCAUGUAAAGCCCUAUCAGCAGGGAAGAAAAUGACGGUACCUGACUAAGAAGCCCCGGCUAAAUACGUG
rnacentral:rRNA from 1 species